UACAGAGGUCUCAAGCGUUGUUCGGAUUCAUUGGGCGUAAAGGGUGCGUAGGUGGCGCUGUAAGUCGGGUGUGAAAUUUCGGAGCUUAACUCCGAAACUGCAUUCGAUACUGCCGUGCUUGAGGACUGGAAAGGAGACUGGAAUUUACGGUGUAGCGGUGAAAUGCGUAGAUAUCGUAAGGAAGACCAGUGGCGAAGGCGGGUCUCUGGGCCGGUACUGACGCUGAGGAGCGAAAGCAUGGGGAGCGAACAGG
rnacentral:rRNA from 1 species